rnacentral:rRNA from 1 species
UACGGGGGGGGCAAGCGUUGUUCGGAAUUACUGGGCGUAAAGGGCUCGUAGGCGGCCAACUAAGUCAGACGUGAAAUCCCUCGGCUUAACCGGGGAACUGCGUCUGAUACUGGAUGGCUUGAAUCCGGGAGAGGGAUGCGGAAUUCCAGGUGUAGCGGUGAAAUGCGUAGAUAUCUGGAGGAACACCUGCGGUGUAGACGGCUUUCUGGACCAACAUUGACGCUGAGGAGCGAAAGCUAGGGGAGCAAACGGG